rnacentral:rRNA from 1 species
UACGUAGGGUGCGAGCGUUGUCCGGAAUUAUUGGGCGUAAAGGGCUCGUAGGCGGUUUGUCGCGUCGGGAGUGAAAACUCAGGGCUCAACCCUGAGCGUGCUUCCGAUACGGGCAGACUAGAGGUAUGCAGGGGAGAACGGAAUUCCUGGUGUAGCGGUGGAAUGCGCAGAUAUCAGGAGGAACACCGGUGGCGAAGGCGGUUCUCUGGGCAUUACCUGACGCUGAGGAGCGAAAGUGUGGGAGCGAACAGG